UGUAUUGGGUUUAUCUAGUUGUGAUGAUGAUGUGUUUCAGGUGUAUUGGGUUUAUCUAGUUGUGAUGAUGAUGUGUUUCAGGUGUAUUGGGUUUAUCUAGUUGUGAUGAUGAUGUGUUUCAGGUGUAUUGGGUUUAUCUAGUUGUUAUGAUGAUGUGUCUCAGGUGUAUUGGGUUUAUCUAGUUGUGAUGAUGAUGUGUUUCAGGUGUAUUGGGUUUAUCUAGUUGUGAUGAUGAUGUGUUUCAGGUGUAUUGGGUUUAUCUAGUUGUGAUGAUGAUGUGUUUCAGGUGUAUUGGGUUUAUCUAGUUGUGAUGAUGAUGUGUUUCAGGUGUAUUGGGUUUAUCUAGUUGUGAUGUGUUUCAGGUGUAUUGGGUUUAUCUAGUUGUGAUGAUGAUGUGUGUCAGGUGUAUUGGGUUUAUCUAGUUGUGAUGAUGAUGUGUUUCAGGUGUAUUGGGUUUAUCUAGUUGUUAUGAUGAUGUGUCUCAGGUGUAUUGGGUUUAUCUAGUUGUGAUGAUGAUGUGUUUCAGGUGUAUUGGGUUUAUCUAGUUGUGAUGUGUUUCAGGUGUAUUGGGUUUAUCUAGUUGUGAUGAUGAUGUGUGUCAGGUGUAUUGGGUUUAUCUAGUUGUUAUGAUGAUGUGUCUCAGGUGUAUUGGGUUUAUCUAGUUGUUAUGAUGAUGUGUCUCAGGUGUAUUGGGUUUAUCUAGUUGUGAUGAUGAUGUGUGUCAGGUGUAUUGGGUUUAUCUAGUUGUGAUGAUGAUGUGUGUCAGGUGUAUUGGGUUUAUCUAGUUGUCAUGAUGAUGUGUUUCAGGUGUAUUGGGUUUAUCUCGUUGUUAUGAUGAUGUGUGUCAGGUGUAUUGGGUUUAUCUAGUUGUGAUGAUGAUGUGUGUCAGGUGUAUUGGGUUUAUCUAGUUGUCAUGAUGAUGUGUGUGUCAGGUGUAUUGGGUUUAUCUAGUUGUGAUGAUGAUGUGUAUUGGGUUUAUCUAGUUGUGAUGAUGAUGUGUAUUGGGUUUAUCUAGUUGUGAUGAUGAUGAUGUGUGUCAGGUGUAUUGGGUUUAUCUAGUUGUGAUGAUGAUGUGUAUUGGGUUUAUCUAGUUGUGAUGAUGAUGAUGUGUGUCAGGUGUAUUGGGUUUAUCUAGUUGUGAUGAUGGUGUAUUGGGUUUUUCUAGUUGUGAUGAUGAUGUGUUUCAGGUGUAUUGGGUUUAUCUAGUUGUGAUGAUGAUGUGUUUCAGGUGUAUUGGGUUUAUCUAGUUGUGAUGAUGGUGUAUUGGGUUUUUCUAGUUGUGAUGAUGAUGUGUUUCAGGUGUAUUGGGUUUAUCUAGUUGUGAUGAUGAUGUGUUUCAGGUGUAUUGGGUUUAUCUAGUUGUGAUGAUGAUGUGUUUCAGGUGUAUUGGGUUUAUCUAGUUGUUAUGAUGAUGUGUUUCAGGUGUAUUGGGUUUAUCUAGUUGUUAUGAUGAUGUGUGUCAGGUGUAUUGGGUUUAUCUAGUUGUGAUGAUGAUGUGUUUCAGGUGUAUUGGGUUUAUCUAGUUGUGAUGAUGAUGUGUUUCAGGUGUAUUGGGUUUAUCUAGUUGUGAUGAUGAUGUGUUUCAGGUGUAUUGGGUUUAUCUAGUUGUGAUGAUGAUGUGUGUCAGGUGUAUUGGGUUUAUCUAGUUGUGAUGAUGAUGUGUUUCAGGUGUAUUGGGUUUAUCUAGUUGUGAUGAUGAUGUGUGUCAGGUGUAUUGGGUUUAUCUAGUUGUUAUGAUGAUGAUGUGUCUCAGAUGUAUUGGGUUUAUCUAGUUGUGAUGAUGAUGUGUUUCAGGUGUAUUGGGUUUAUCUAGUUGUGAUGAUGAUGUGUUUCAGGUGUAUUGGGUUUAUCUAGUUGUGAUGAUGAUGUGUUUCAGGUGUAUUGGGUUUAUCUAGUUGUGAUGAUGAUGUGUUUCAGGUGUAUUGGGUUUAUCUAGUUGUCAUGAUGAUGUGUUUCAGGUGUAUUGGGUUUAUCUAGUUGUGAUGAUGAUGUGUUUCAGGUGUAUUGGGUUUAUCUAGUUGUCAUGAUGAUGUGUUUCAGGUGUAUUGGGUUUAUCUAGUUGUUAUGAUGAUGAUGAUGAUGAUGUGUUUCAGGUGUAUUGGGUUUAUCUAGUUGUGAUGAUGAUGUGUCUCAGGUGUAUUGGGUUUAUCUAGUUGUGAUGAUGAUGAUGUGUCUCAGGUGUAUUGGGUUUAUCUAGUUGUGAUGAUGAUGUGUCUCAGGUGUAUUGGGUUUAUCUAGUUGUGAUGAUGAUGAUGUGUCUCAGGUGUAUUGGGUUCAUCUAGUUGUGAUGAUGAUGUGUCUCAGGUGUAUUGGGUUUAUCUAGUUGUGAUGAUGAUGAUGUGUCUCAGGUGUAUUGGGUUUAUCUAGUUGUGAUGAUGAUGUGUCUCAGGUGUAUUGGGUUUAUCUAGUUGUGAUGAUGAUGAUGUGUCUCAGGUGUAUUGGGUUUAUCUAGUUGUGAUGAUGAUGUGUCUCAGGUGUAUUGGGUUUAUCUAGUUGUGAUGAUGAUGAUGUGUCUCAGGUGUAUUGGGUUUAUCUAGUUGUGAUGAUGAUGAUGUGUCUCAGGUGUAUUGGGUUUAUCUAGUUGUGAUGAUGAUGUGUCUCAGGUGUAUUGGGUUUAUCUAGUUGUGAUGAUGAUGAUGUGUCUCAGGUGUAUUGGGUUCAUCUAGUUGUGAUGAUGAUGUGUCUCAGGUGUAUUGGGUUUAUCUAGUUGUGAUGAUGAUGAUGUGUCUCAGGUGUAUUGGGUUUAUCUAGUUGUGAUGAUGAUGUGUCUCAGGUGUAUUGGGUUUAUCUAGUUGUGAUGAUGAUGUGUCUCAGGUGUAUUGGGUUUAUCUAGUUGUGAUGAUGAUGAUGUGUCUCAGGUGUAUUGGGUUCAUCUAGUUGUGAUGAUGAUGUGUCUCAGGUGUAUUGGGUUUAUCUAGUUGUGAUGAUGAUGUGUCUCAGGUGUAUUGGGUUUAUCUAGUUGUGAUGAUGAUGAUGUGUCUCAGAUGUAUUGGGUUUAUCUAGUUGUGAUGAUGAUGUGUGUCAGGUGUAUUGGGUUUAUCUAGUUGUGAUGAUGGUGUAUUGGGUUUAUCUAGUUGUGAUGAUGAUGUGUUUCAGGUGUAUUGGGUUUAUCUAGUUGUGAUGAUGAUGAUGUGUCUCAGAUGUAUUGGGUUUAUCUAGUUGUGAUGAUGAUGUGUGUCAGGUGUAUUGGGUUUAUCUAGUUGUGAUGAUGGUGUAUUGGGUUUUUCUAGUUGUGAUGAUGAUGUGUUUCAGGUGUAUUGGGUUUAUCUAGUUGUGAUGAUGAUGUGUGUCAGGUGUAUUGGGUUUAUCUAGUUGUGAUGAUGGUGUAUUGGGUUUUUCUAGUUGUGAUGAUGAUGUGUUUCAGGUGUAUUGGGUUUAUCUAGUUGUGAUGAUGAUGUGUUUCAGGUGUAUUGGGUUUAUCUAGUUGUUAUGAUGAUGUGUGUCAGGUGUAUUGGGUUUAUCUAGUUGUGAUGAUGGUGUAUUGGGUUUUUCUAGUUGUGAUGAUGAUGUGUUUCAGGUGUAUUGGGUUUAUCUAGUUGUGAUGAUGAUGUGUGUCAGGUGUAUUGGGUUUAUCUAGUUGUGAUGAUGGUGUAUUGGGUUUUUCUAGUUGUGAUGAUGAUGUGUUUCAGGUGUAUUGGGUUUAUCUAGUUGUGAUGAUGAUGUGUUUCAGGUGUAUUGGGUUUAUCUAGUUGUGAUGAUGAUGUGUGUCAGGUGUAUUGGGUUUAUCUAGUUGUGAUGAUGAUGUGUUUCAGGUGUAUUGGGUUUAUCUAGUUGUGAUGAUGGUGUAUUGGGUUUUUCUAGUUGUGAUGAUGAUGUGUUUCAGGUGUAUUGGGUUUAUCUAGUUGUGAUGAUGAUGUGUUUCAGGUGUAUUGGGUUUAUCUAGUUGUGAUGAUGGUGUAUUGGGUUUUUCUAGUUGUGAUGAUGAUGUGUUUCAGGUGUAUUGGGUUUAUCUAGUUGUGAUGAUGAUGUGUUUCAGGUGUAUUGGGUUUAUCUAGUUGUGAUGAUGAUGUGUUUCAGGUGUAUUGGGUUUAUCUAGUUGUGAUGAUGAUGUGUUUCAGGUGUAUUGGGUUUAUCUAGUUGUUAUGAUGAUGUGUUUCAGGUGUAUUGGGUUUAUCUAGUUGUUAUGAUGAUGUGUGUCAGGUGUAUUGGGUUUAUCUAGUUGUGAUGAUG